UAUAAUUGAACACAAGUUUUUUAAAGCAAGAAGAAAGUGAGUACACUCUGUACGCAUAUGUAUACGUGUAUGUGUGCCACGUGUACACAAAUAUGCAUGGAACUGAAACAAUGAUGACUGGCAACACUAUCUAUCGUAAAAUUACUGAAAUGUCAAACGGGGAGGAUAAAUAAAUACCACCAUUGAUUGAAUAUAGCAAGAACUUUAUAAAAGACGAGGCAGACUCACAGAUGGUUUAAGUACAUUAGUAUAUGUCUCAAAACUCUGAGAAAUAUAUGACGGUUUUGCAUUCGCAUUUUUUUUUAAUUCUUUUUUUUCUGUUUUUUUUUUUUUUGUAUCUUUUUUCUCUCAAAUAGAUCACACGCAUGAAAAAGGUUGUUGCGCAAAAGGUUGUUGUGUUUACAUCGUGCAUAAAAAGUACGAACAUACAUCAAUCGAAAAAGAGUCGUAAGGGUAAAAGCUGAAAAAGGAAACGCUCGAUUAGAUCGUUUGACAAACUCUCUCGAGUCGUCGUGUUACGGAUUAUCGCCGAAAAUUAACAUACGCAUGAGAUAGAUGACGAUACUUGGUGGAAGGACAGCGUAACGUAACACGAAAGAGAGAGAGAGAGUUCCGUCAUUAAGAAAAAACGUGAUUUGUACAUGCCCCGAUCGGAGCAGCAUCGAGAAAAAUAUACAUCGUGAGAAAUUAUUCCGAGCAAUGAAAAUUCGCUUCGCAGGCGAUUGUGGUUUGUGAGCUAACAAGUGAGGCGGUGCUUACCGCGAAAAUACACUAGAGAAAAUUGAUAUUGUUUUAUGGUGUCAUCGUCCGUCAGCGCGCCACGAUGUUCUCACGUGGAACUCUAAUAAAAACAAGUUCUCCGAAACAAAUUCAACGGUGUGUGAUAGGAUCGGCUUUCUGAUGUUUCGACCGGGAAUCUUAAUCGAUAUCGUUCGUCAUCAUCAUCAUCAUCGUUCGCCAAGUCGGGUUACGGAGCGUCGUUUCAUUCAUUUGGAGGGAAAGAUAGCGAUGUUCAACGUAAACUAUAAUGACAGAGCAAGCAAAAAUGAACGCGGAAUGCAAAAUUAUCGUAGUGAAUUACCACGGAGAAGCUGAGCAACUGAAAUGAGCAAGAAUCGAUGUAAAGAAGAGAGCACGAUGAUGUAGCUGCGAGUAAAUAAUCAACAAAUCCCUAUAGGUUUUCGUGAAUUUUCCAGAGUUUUCUCGGGCGGUCGAUGCAUGCAUAUAUAUUUCUAUGUACAUACAUAUGUGCUGGCCGUUACAUCUUUCAUAUUUCAUAUCUGGCUUUUAAGGAAAACCGAUAGCCUGGAGCCAGACACCGAUAUUAACGUCCCUCGGCAUGCCGUGACCCGUCGGCAUCGUUGAAAAGAGUUACAGACGCGGAAUAUCGAUGGACAAAAAUUAAUUAUGCGACGUUGGAGUGGAAAGAGCAAUAUCGGCUAGGAUUCGGAGAGCGAGCGGCUAAGAGGCCGAUGUUCGAUAUUUACAUAGCCGGAACAAAAAGCUCAUGAAUCACCAUCGUUUCAUCCGUUCUGGUCGCUUAAGAAGGCACGGUCGAUCUUUCGAACGAUUGUCGGACACGCAAUGAUGUCGGGGCGCUUGGCGCGUCACGCAUCGAUUUCCAUAAAGAAAAUGAGUUCAAUUGACCCACGCUGACGCAAGGGACCAGAGAUCGCGAAACGACCUUCUCCUAAUCAAAGGAACAGAUGCAGACAAGAGACAAAAAGAAAUGUACAUGCAAGAUGGCUAGGAGAUACGAAGAAGAUAAGAGAUGAUGUUAAUCAAGUGCAACGCUGAAGAGACAAAGAGAAACGAAGCUCCCUGACCCGACUGACAUCGUCGAUGAUAAAUUCCGAGAAGUGUCUAUUACAUAGAUAUAUAUGUACUUAUCGAAGCGUAUAGUUACGUGUAUGUAAUUCCGCUUGGUGUUGUGCGUUUCUCUGGCCCGCACCCGGCCCUCGCGAGAAUGAGUUUUAAUUGACUGAAGUGCCGAGCCGAAUCGCGGGCACGAGGACUUGGAAGCGUGUUUGGUUGCUCGCUAAUGUCGACGACACGUGGGAGAUUAAGAUCGUGCUAUUUUCAAUGUACGUGUUCAAAAUUCCACCAAAUCACUAGAUCCAUGUGUAUUGUGUAUCGCAUGACGGGACGUUGCGUCAUUAUAUCACCGGCAUAAUGUAAUUUUCCAGAUAGCACAACAAACAGGAAAAAGUUGCUCUAAAGUUGUUUAAAAUCGUUGUCGAAAAUUGAUUUGCAAUUGCAGUUGUAACCGAAAUGCCUGUUACUUUAGAUAUCCGAAACAUCUAGAUAUGCAUCUGCUAUGCGCUCCUGAAUAUUGGAUAGAACAUUCGACGGAACAUUCCAGGUAUUCGAGUAUCUGGCUUUCUUCACCAUGGCCAAAGCUGUAGCUCGUUAGACCAUUAGACUGUCGUUUAGCCUGGCCGUCGUACUUACAUCGUGCGCAUUGUUUUGUUACAGAGAGACAUUGACAAAUCGAGCCAGGUGUCGCGCGACAUUCAUCGAGCGUGAUAGCAUCAAUUAGUGUUAGAACGCGCCAAAGCGGAAAUCGCGGGUUUAUCGUGCUGACAGACGCGUGAAUUUCAUUCGUUCGAUCGGAUUAGAUGCGAUUGUCAGAGCUGCUGUCACGCCUGUCGCAAGCGUUUUCGAUAGAAAAUUGAAAAUCGUGAGACAGGAGAGUUUAGACUGGCGAGGAGGGACACACGAGAGAGAGAUUUCCUAUAAACGGUUCCGUUUCUUUAACGUUCCCUGCGGACGCAGAGGACGCUUACGAUCGAUAAAAUCUGACAAAUUACACAACAAUACAACAUGACAUUAGAUUACAAUCGGUCUCUUGUCGCCGAUAAAAAGCUCCUCGAACUUGGUCUGGUCGUCGACAUUUUCUGAAUUUUCGCCGACGUUUCGCCGCGAUCGUUCUCUUCGAUUGACAUCGAUCGGAGCCAAGCUCGAGGAUCGUUGUGGCCACUGGGCGAGAGAUGUGACGAAACUUCGGAGACGCAUCUACUUACGUCCGGUGGUCCUGUACAAACUGACUGUACGUCAGAUAAGAAAAUUUUGACUCGGAGUAACUGACGUGGGAAGCGCGUGCGCUGCAUUUCUUCUCUAUUACGUUUACGGGAACGUGUUUACACGUAAAUAUAUUGUGUUUAUAUCCGACCGUUCAUCUCUCCACAGGCGUUCGUUCAAUCAUCGAGGAGACCGCACGAUCGUCUCUUUCGUUCAUCGUUUCGUUGUUUUUUUCUACUUCCACGUCCCUUCUCAAAGACGUGCGACAGAGACUCAACAAACUCUUCCUUUUCUUUCUUUCUUCCAACCAGCUCCUCGAACGUACUUUACAGACGUCUUUGUCGUCGCGCGAAAAUUAAAAAGAAGCACGGACGAAAACGUAAUCUCGGCCGGCUAUAUGAAUUUAAGUGGGCGCCAUAUUAAAAUGGAAAUAGGAUUUCGCGGGGAUCUCGGCACGGCCGUUCUCGUCGUGGAAAAUCGAGUAAAUUUCUCGCUGACUCGCCCGAAGGGAGGGAUCCUCCGCAGCAGUCGUGACUCACAGAGAUAAAAAUGAGGUAAUUACUGAAACGAGUUAUUUAUUGUUCUUAUCGUCAGUCGUAUCGAGCGGACUUUUCCUGACCUUGGUUCGACCACCAAAGACAGAUUAGAACGUCAUUAGCGAAGUGCUGCGCGAAUAUAAAUUUUUACCGCGAUUAUCGCUGGCCUUCGAGUGGAAAUCACGCUGAAAGUUAGAGCAGAUAGCAGCGGGUAGAUUAUCGGGAAUUUCGGUAUACGAUAAUUUAAACACGCGGCAUUGCGAAAUAAAGUGUACAGCCGAGGGAGAAAACGAAACGUUCAGAAAACGAAACGAUGAGCUUCGAUCGUACGAUCCGCCUUCGAAAGCCGUUCUUUCUCGCUUCGCGCGUCAUACGUAGGCACAACGUAUCUCUUGUUUUCACUUUCUGUUUAACACGAAUGUCGCGUAUGUACAAAGUAUACCUACAGAAAAUCCGCUACAUCUCAGACGAUGGAUACAACUUUCAUGUUUCCUCUUUUUUUCUCUCUCGAUCGGCGCGCGCGACCUUCGAUUAAAAGC